AGUGAACGCUGGCGGCGUGCUUAAUACAUGCAAGUCGAACGAUGAAGUCCUAGCUUGCUAGGAUGGAUUAGUGGCGCACGGGUGAGUAAUAUAUAGUUAAUCUGCCUUGCACUGAGGAACAACAGUUGGAAACGAUUGCUAAUACCUCAUACUCCAACUUUACAUAAGUUAAGUUGGGAAAGUCUUUUCGGUGCAAGAUGAGACUAUAUCGUAUCAGCUAGUUGGUAAGGUAAUGGCUUACCAAGGCUAUGACGCGUAACUGGUCUGAGAGGAUGAUCAGUCACAUUGGAACUGAGACACGGUCCAAACUCCUACGGGAGGCUGCAGUAAGGAAUAUUGUGCAAUGGGGGAAACCCUGACGCAGCAACGCCGCGUGGAGGAUGACACUUUUCGGAGCGUAAACUCCUUUUGUUAGGGAAGAAUAAUGACGGUACCUAACGAAUAAGCACCGGCUAACUCCGUG
rnacentral:rRNA from 1 species